UUAUUUGUCCUCACUGAGAAGUGCUCUGAGCACAUGGUAGACAUGCAAUAGAUGUUGUUAACCAUGUUGUCCAGCUAGGUGACUGGCUCCUAGCUCUCCUUUAAAGAGGUUCUUCGAGGGGCCCCCGGGUGGCUCAGUGGUUGAGCAUCUGCCUUUGGCUCAGGGUGUGACCCCGGGGUCCUGGGAUCGAGUCCCACAUCUGGCUCCCCUGCUUCUCCCUCUGCUUGUGUCUCUACCCCUCUUUCUGUGUCUCUCAGGAAUAAAUAAAUAAAAUCUUUUUUUUUUUAAAGAGAUUCUUUGAUUAAAAACACUUUUUUAGUGGUUGUUCUGUAAUUCUGUAUUUAUUGAGAAGUAACCAGAGAAUCACAGAAGGCUAAAGCUGGAAGGAAUUUUCUGUCUGGUGGUUUUCGAGCUCGUUUUCAUUUUAUUAUUUCUGUGAGCCUCAGAGACAAUCCUUCAAGGGACAGUUUAAAGGAAGGAGCUUGUAGGUGACACUCAGCCCCCUCGCCCUCCCCUUCCCUGAAACAUAAGUUGAAAACCAAUGUCCAAAGUGCUUCUCUAAAAUCUUUAUUCAUUAGCUGCCCUCUUAGGGAUCUUCAAAAAUGAAAGCAUUCCAAAUUAAAAAAAAAAAAAAACACCAAGUAUUAAUCUUAGGGUUUUAAAGAAGUGCCAGGAUGACACAUGGUAGUGUUUGCCCAUGAAGUACUUAUUUGCCCAGAUCUCGAGAAUCGGGAACUAGCAGUUUAGGAGUGAAGGUGACCCAGGCUCCAGAAGGACAGUCACAUCCGACACCGUCCGACCUUUCAGCGGCCACGGUGGUGGGAUGCACCGGGUGAAGGGGCACCCGUGGGCUCAGUGAACAAGACUGUGCCUUCCACCUGCCUUGGGGGUGCCCAACCUGCCCCCCCCCCCCCCCGUCUCCAUGCUGCUCCACUUGUGUUUUGGGGAGGCUCCUGUUAUCGCCGUCACUUGACCGUUCAAUGAGCUCGGGUCAGUUUCUGCAUGUUCAUGACCCAGCAAACUUGUCAAAUCACUGCCAGGGCGUUGGCAUCAUCGUGUGGCCUUCUGUUGUUUUUCAAGUAUUAUAUUGUGUGAUAUCUUAUUGCUUUAUAGCUUUAUGGCUCCAUCUAGGCCGCAGUGUGUGCGUACUUCCUGGGCGAGCCGAAGCCUACUCCAUGUCAGGGGAAUGCAAAGGGGUAAAGCCAAGACCCGCCUCAUAGGCAAAGACUCCUGUAGGAUACACGUCGCCAUGGAAAAGGAUCUAGACCCAUUUGAAAGCUCUGCUGGAAAGCUCUGCUGGAAAUGAUCAGAUGUUAUGGGUUUGUAAUCCUGGUCCAAGAGUCUAACGAGGAUCGGCUCCAAGUGUGGGGAAAUGUCUCCCGUAUCCAGUUUCAGUGGGAAGGACCAUGACGUGCUCUGCAUGCUCGCUCCCUUCCACAGCAACGAUGCAAGGCACUACUGCUACUCCUGGUGAUGAAGGAGAGCCUCGGGGAGGUGGACAUGCUCAGGCCCCACCUGCUACACGACCAUAAAAGGGCAGGACUUGAGGACUUGAGACGGCUCCCAGCCCAGGCUCAGAACCCAGAGGUCUGCUGGCCACAUGUUUGUAGGUGAUGGGCCCGAGCAGCGUGCUUGGACAGUAGGUCUCUGACAGUCCUGUUAGAGGCUUCCAGGAAUGUGCAUUCUUCUUCAGUGACCCUUUGUGGAGAAGAUGCAUUUCUUUUUCUUCUUUACUUGGCAGGCUUUUGAAUACCUACCUUAGCUUUAACUACACGAAGGUGUUGUUAAGAAUUCGAGGAAAUCUUUUCAUUCACGGCAGUCUCUGGGAAAGUGCAGAUUGGAUGCCCUCCUUCAAGCCUCCGGAAGGCAAGAAGGAUGCUCUGCAGAUGUCAAAGCCACCUUGGCUUUGGGUACAGGUGAGGAUGCCUCCCCCGAGGAGUGUUGGUGAGAGUUCACGGACCUGUGAACGCUGUCCUGACCCCACUGGCUGCCCCUUGGAAUACUCUCAUUCCUCUUGACCUGCACACAUUUGGUUUCAUCUUCGGCAAGAGAAAAAUCCUGGAAAUCCGGCUCUGUUUGGCCCCUUUUCUCACUAACCUAUCCAGGCUUUUCAGAAAUCUCUCUGCUUCAUUCUAAACAGGAAGUUUCAGCAGGCAGUUGUACAAAUGGCAUUGCAUUGUGUGGGAUGUCACCUAUUGUUACAGGAACAAAGACAUCCUGAAAUAAGGACAAAGCCUUCAAAUCCGCCAGGGUCCCGGACCCUUCAAUAGCCUUGCAUUGUGUCUGGAGGGUGAUUGAGUGAAUUGGGUCACUCCAAGAAUAUACCUAAGCUUCUGAAACUCUGCUAUUAUUAGGGUUGCCAGAACGGGGCUACACACAGCAUAUGCAAAUAGCAUUUGUAGUAGCUGUUUUAGCUGCUCUGCAUACAUGCAAAGCAGGGCCUUUCUAAAUAGAUGUGGUUACCUGCAUGGGUAUAAAUAAACAGGAAAGAAGGUCUGUGGGUUGACGCA
rnacentral:lncRNA from 12 species